GAUGAACGCUAGCUACAGGCUUAACACAUGCAAGUCGAGGGGCAGCAUGACCUAGCAAUAGGUUGAUGGCGACCGGCGCACGGGUGAGUAACACGUAUCCAACCUACCGGUUAUUCUGGGAUAGCCUUUCGAAAGAAAGAUUAAUACCGGAUAGUAUAACGAGAAGGCAUCUUUUUGUUAUUAAAGAAUUUCGAUAAUCGAUGGGGAUGCGUUCCAUUAGUUUGUUGGCGGGGUAACGGCCCACCAAGACAUCGAUGGAUAGGGGUUCUGAGAGGAAGGUCCCCCACAUUGGAACUGAGACACGGUCCAAACUCCUACGGGAGGCAGCAGUGAGGAAUAUUGGUCAAUGGACGAGAGUCUGAACCAGCCAAGUAGCGUGAAGGAUGACUGCCCUAUGGGUUGUAAACUUCUUUUAUAUGGGAAUAAAGUGAGCCACGUGUGGCUUUUUGUAUGUACCAUACGAAUAAGGAU
rnacentral:rRNA from 1 species